CCAAGGCUAAAUACUACCUAGUGACCGAUAGCGUAUAGUACCGUGAGGGAAAGGUGAAAAGAACCCCGGGAGGGGAGUGAAAUAGAACCUGAAACACUGCACUUACAAGCUGUGGAAGCACAUUUCUUGUGUGACCGCGUACUUUUUGUAGAACGGGCCAACGAGUUACGUUAAGUAGCAAGGUUAAGCACUUAAGGUGCGGAGCCGUAGCGAAAGCGAGUUU
rnacentral:rRNA from 1 species